rnacentral:lncRNA from 1 species
GGAGAAUACCAAGGACUCUAGCAGGCUGCCUGAACCGAUCCUCACUGAUGAUCUAGACAGAAGGAGUUCAGACCGAAGUCACCACCCAACCAGGUCACUGAAGUUCACAGGAGGAAGCCCUGAAGUCUGGUUUUUCAAGUCCCCUCCUCACACAGCUGGGGCGACAGUUUACACUGAGGUGCCCAAGACUCCACCACACCACUCCAUUAGACCUGGCCUAUGGCCUACAGACUUAUCCCUCCACCAAGAGCCCUGGAGGACAAGGCUCAGAGACACCUCCACCCAUUUGGAUGCCCUAGGGCAGCAGAACUUCAAGUACUGCAUGUUCAUCCCUCCGGGUGGUAGCCUACUCCUGACAUGAUGAAGCCUUCCCUGUUGGCCUGAACACACUGGGUACUCAGCAAGGGUUGAAUUAAGGGAUACAUGAAACAAUG